rnacentral:rRNA from 1 species
AUGGAGCGCGCCGGCGCCGCGCCGGGGGUCCCUGCGGCAGGGGAGGGCGCGGCGGCGGCGGCCGCAGCGCCGACCCCGGUGGCAGGGGCAGGGGUGGUGAAGGGGAGGUCCUGCAAGGGCUGCCUCUUCUACUCGUCGGUGCUCAGGUCCAAAGGGCGCGGCCCCGUCUGCGUCGGCGUCACCCGCGGCAUCCCCCAAGUUCCUGAUCGUAUGGUUGGAGAAAUUGAGCUGGGAGCUAUCCAAGAAGGUCGCAACCUUUCCAACUUCAAAUAUGCAUGUGCUGGAUAUUCCAUAUACCUAGAUGACAAGGAUACCUCUACAGUGAAGGGAGAGAAGCAUGCAGAGCUCCCUAUCUGUGUUGGAGUUGAGCUAUUGACAGACAGAGCUCCAACUAAACAAGCUCCAGCUCACGUAACUAAACAAGCUCCAGGUCACAUGAAAAAAGAAGCUACUCAAGCACAUGGACACAAACCUGCGCUGACACAAGCCGAUUUCAUAACCAAAUUUCAGAGGAAUGCUGGACUUGUGGCCAGUGGUGUGGUCAGGAACAUGAAUAAAAUUGGGACUUACGUCAAAGACACGGUGGAUGACAUCCUGUACCCAUACCGCAAGCGUCCCAAGUAA